rnacentral:lncRNA from 1 species
AAAGGGGCGGUGCUCGCCGGAGGUUCCUUUUCUCUGCUUUCACCAAUCUCGCUACGAUGGAAGAGAGACUAGAGCAAUGCUUGAUGAUGAUGAUGUUCUCGAGUAGAGUAGCUGCAGGUGGUUAUGGUGGUGGGCAGAGGCGAAGCCACAGUGGGGUCAAUGGGGUCGCACGACCCCUUGGAAGCCAUAGAAAUAACCUUAGAAGUCCAUUGGAGCUGCUGGUGCGACCCCUUAAAGCUGCUGGUGCGACCUCUUGGAGCUGCUGCAUUUUUCUGGGUUUCUUCUGGUUUUCGUUCGGUUUGGCGGAAGAGGAAGACGAAGACGAAGACGUUCUCUCUCUUCCUUUCACACCACGUGACCACACACUCUUCUUAUUUAAUUUUUUUUCUUAGUUUCUCUCCAAUCAAAUUUGUAUAGCUAGCAUCAAAUUGCUUGCUUUGUGUAAAAAGCCAUAGGCUGUCAGUUCGGUUCGUGUGUCAAGUUGAAGAUGUCACCAUUAAGUCUUGGUGCAGAUUGCAAAGUUCCCAUGCGUCCACAUCCACAUAUUUGACAUAAAUUAAUGGUAAUGAUGUGUGUGCCCUUUCCACAUCCACAUAUUUAACAACUUUAUUUCUCUUUAUAUUCAACAUAAAUUAAUAUGAUCUCUAAAAAAUAUUAUUAUGAACCACCAUAUUGACAUCAGAAUUUUAUGUUUAUUAUGAACCAUCCAACCCAAUUUUAUGUUUAUUUUUGGUUGUCAGGGAAAGUGAAGGCACCUUUUAGUAUGGUAACUAUCGGCGAGAGGCUGAUCACACUAUCCUACUAAGAUCCGAUGAAAUGACGAUAUGCAUGCCGUUUCUGUUAAAAAAAAAUUUCGCGCUGCGCGCGCUAUCCUUGUUGACCCCCCAAACAUUAUUUCCUGGAUCCGCCACUGGUGGUGAGUGUUCACGGUGAUAGAGAGGGAGAGAGAGAUGAGAGAGGUAUACGGGAAAGGGAAGAAGAAAAGGAAGAAAGAGAACUGAGAGAAGAG